UGUCACGGAUAGCGGUGAUUAAAGCUCUAUCGAGUUUUUGCGUAAGCAAAAAUACUCGAAGAUGAAAAAUGUACACGGAUGUAUAUUUUUCAUCGA
rnacentral:sRNA from 1 species